rnacentral:rRNA from 1 species
GACGAGGGACCCUAGCGUUGUUCGGAAUCAUUGGGCGUAAAGCGGGUGUAGGUGGCUUUGUAAGUCAGGUGUGAAAGCCCUGGCUCAACCCAGGAAGUGCAUUUGAUACUGCGAAGCUUGAGUGCCGGAGAGGUUACUGGAAUACCUGGUGUAGUGGUGAAAUACGUAGAUAUCAGGUGGAACACCGGAGGCGAAGGCGGGUAACUGGCCGGACACUGACACUCAGACCCGAAAGCGUGGGGAUCAAACAGG